rnacentral:rRNA from 1 species
UACGUAGGUAGCGAGCGUUGUUCGGAAUUACUGGGCGUAAAGAGUGUGUAGGCGGUGCUCUAAGUUCGGUGUGAAAUCUCCCGGCUUAACUGGGAGGGUGCGCCGGAAACUGGAGUGCUCGAGCGUGGGAGAGGAAAGCGGAAUUCCUGGUGUAGCGGUGAAAUGCGUAGAUAUCAGGAGGAACACCUGCGGUGUAGACGGCUUUCUGGACCAUUGCUGACGCUGAGACACGAAAGCGUGGGUAGCAAACAGG